rnacentral:tRNA from 1 species
GCACCUUUAGUUCAGUUGGUAGAGCGUGGGAUUCCAAAUCCUAAAGUCGAGGGUUCAAGUCCUUCAAGGUGUG